rnacentral:lncRNA from 12 species
AUGCCGUUCCAGUUUGCAAUUUAUUACUUAUAUGAUAAGUCAUUAAAAGUGGAGAGUACAUCGAUCCUUGUAGCUAAUAUAGACCAGCAUAGUCAAGUUACGUCAAAACCAGACCUUGAUGGAGACGACAAUUGGCUAGAAAUAAAGUGGCCUUCACGUAAAGAACCAGAGAAGACGGUGCCUGCAAAAGUCCUGCUGUUUGGAGAUUCGUUCAAAGACCUCGUCAUGAAGAAAAACUUACUACUUUUGGGAAAGGACAUAUGGAAAAAGGAUGAAAGCAGGGGUGUUCGUGUCAAAAAGAAAAUAUUGGACACCAGCAACGAGGUGGAGGCUAAAAAAGCCAGGCUGGUAAAGCUAGUAAACACUAAGAAGGCUGCCAGACCCCUGGCAUUCACUUCCGAUCAUCAUAUCAGUUCUGAAGAUGCUACAAACAUAGCGAGCCCACUCCGUCCAGAUCAUCACACCAGUUCUGAUGAUGCUACAACCAUAGGGAGUCCUGAAAUGGUGAGUCAUAUUUUUUGUUUUAUUUUUUUGAUCUAUGUACUGUGCUGUACACAAAUUGUUUCUCUCUUGAUUUUCACACAACUCUUAUAA